AGGUCACUGACUUUUACCUUGUUAUCUUAUAAUUCUGUAACUCAGAGGCAGAAAAUCCAUAUUGAUUUUUUUCUUCUUUAAUGACAGGGUGUAAUUCUGUUGCCCAGGCUGGAGAGCAGUGGUGCGAUCACAGCUUGCUAUACCCUUAUCCUCCUGGGCUCCAACGAUCCUCCCACCUCAGCCUCUUAGGUAGCUGUGACUACAGGUGUACUCUUCAGUUGUAACCCAAAUUUUUAAGUGUUCACAGGCAGAUCUGCUGUUAGAGAAGAAUUCUUCUGCCCUAACUGUGUCUCUGUGAUCUGUGGAUGAGGGUGGGAAAGGACCGCUCAAUGAAUUGGGGUGUACAAAAUGGAGUUUGAGAAGGUAGCUGUUAAUAUGCAUGAUCUCCUGCUGUGAGCUCCUUAAAGGAGGAACUUCCGUGGUCAUCCCAGUCAUGUGCUGUAAGGGCAAUGACAGCAAUGGUAUAAGGAAGAGUCCGGAAGCCACCAUGCCCAGAACCAUCAGCCUCAAGCAAAUCAUCUUCCCUUGUCCUCUUGCUCUCAUCUUACCCUUCCAGACAAAAUCCAUGAAUUAUUGAUCAAAUUUGGGUCUCUGUGUGCUGUUCUCCAAUUUAAUACCUUCUCUGUUGCUGUUUUGUUUUCUUUCUUCUGGAACAUGGCAGAGUGCUUCAAGCGAUGAGACUUCCUCUUUGAAGAUCACAGGUGAGAAGAUUAGAUGCUUUCUCGGAAGCCCAGAAACCUGAUGGGAUUGUGGAGUGAGCCAGACCCAAAUCAGAACUUCAUCCCUGCAUGGUUUAUUUUGCUUGUUUGGCAAACUUGCCCCACAGGUCAGGCUCAUAAAAUCUUUCUACGAACAAUUCCCAACUUUCCAACAGAGGCUAAAGAAAAUGGAGAAAGUCCAAUAACCAAGGAUUGCAUCUGACCCACUGUAGUAUGCAAUAAACUUUAACAAUUAUUGAAAAAGCAGAGAUUUUAUAAGAUUCUUCAGUUAAACAAAGUAACUAUACUUGUUGUGAAGAUCAAAUUCAGAGAGAUCUAGACUAUGGCAAAGAGUAUUACUCACCUUUACUAUUAAAUCGGACAGUAUGUUAGGUCUUUCAACAUGACCAUCUUUGAAUUUAACCUAAAUAUCUCCAUUUUCUGCUAACUGCUACCGCAAGGCAGUGUCCAGUCAUUUUUGUGUAGUGCUCCUCCCACUCCCACUCACGCACCCUGUUUAGUUCAGAUUCUGAUGUCUUUGGAUCAAUUAAUGUGAAAGGAAGGUGUCAGAAGUGGGAUGGGGCAAAGGAAGUGCAACUGUGAUGCACCAAAAUGGCAGGGUGCUCUGGAGUGAGUACUGAAAUACAGAGCCGGGGUCCCAUUUUGGGCCCAAAUGGCUGAGUUUUUGUCCUCUGCAGCACUGAAAAUCAGGUCUUGAUAUUCCUGCCUUGCUCAGUCACCACAGUGGGCACUCACACAUGGGUGUGAUCUUAGCCAGAUCUCUACAGUUGAAGAUGGCCAUUUGGGAACCAACUGGGGGAGCUAUCUGCUGACUGACCAUACUCUUGGUGACUAGGCAGUGACUUCUACCAAAUUCUAGUUAAUCUUACAUUUCCUCUCACACACUAGUUUUUCUUCCAUUGUUUUCUAAUAUACUGUUUUUCUCCUCCAUGAAAAUGUUUAGUAUGACUCCUAACAGUUCUCUAUUAUUUUUUUUUAUUAAAAGAAAUUGGCAGUGCUCAAUGUCUGUGCAGAGAAGAAGAGGCAGCUUGAGACAAAUAACUUUUGAUCACCAAAUAAUUACGUAAAGGGCUGUUGGUUUCUUUUAGUUAUCAAAUUUUAUUGGUAUACCUAAUGUAUUUGACACUCGAAGUAAAUCAUUUUCAAAUAUCUUCCCUCUAUUCUAGAAAAUUAUUUUAGUAAAUUUCAUAAAAUGAAAUGAG